rnacentral:rRNA from 1 species
GACGAACGCUGGCGGCGUGCUUAACACAUGCAAGUCGAACGGAAAGGCCCUGCUUUGGGGGGGUGCUCGAGGGGCAAACGGGUGAUUAACCCGUGGGUAACCUGCCCUGGACUUUGGGAUAACUUCGGGAAACUGGGGCUAAUACCGGAUAGGGGCUCCUGCGGCAGGGUGGGGGUGGGAAAGUUUCGGCGGUUGGGGAUGGACUCGCGGCUUAUCAGCUUGUUGGUGGGGUAGUGGCUUACCAAGGCUUUGACGGGUAGCCGGCCUGAGAGGGUGACCGGCCACAUUGGGACUGAGAUACGGCCCAGACUCCUACGGGAGGCAGCAGUGGGGAAUAUUGCACAAUGGGCGGAAGCCUGAUGCAGCAACGCCGCGUGCGGGAUGACGGCCUUCGGGUUGUAAACCGCUUUCGCCUGUGACGAAGCGUGAGUGACGGUAAUGGGUAAAGAAGCACCGGCUAACUACGUG